ensembl:lncRNA
ACAACAAAAACAAGGGGAGCUAGUGUGGCAGGUUGAGUGUUGCUCCUCCUCCACUCAGGUGAUUUCUGGUGGGCAGAUUGCAGAUUGGUUUCACCUGUAUAAGUGCUGCGCCUUCUCUGGCGCGCACACUGCUGCCUGGCACUCGUGGCGAAGACUCGGUGUGGCGUCUGUUAGUUGUUGGUUUGUUGUCGGUUGGUGUGGCGUGCUUCAGUCACUUGAAGCGUUGUUGGCCGUGUUGUUCGGGGGCGGCAUUGUGAAGAGUGAGGGGAGUGUGGCAUCCGCUCUGUACUGUUGCCGCAGCCGGUGAUCAGUUUCGGGGGCGUAAAGCUCUCUUCGUUCGGCUGUUGGAGCCGCAGCGGUGCUUUUGCUUUUCUUCCUCCUCCUGUGCUCUGGUGAAGCUGCCCUGCACGGCUCUGUGACGUAGCCUACACCUGGCGAUCCCAAACGUAAACCAUCCACGGCCUCCGGUCCUGGGGCGGUCGCUCUGUCUUCGCCAGCCACUCCGUCUUCUCCAUCCACUCCGUCGUCUUCAUCAUCUUCGGCUGCUCCGGCACCGUUGCCUUUUUCCACACAGUCCGAUGUGGCGGUUGCAUUCCCGCGCAGCGCUAAGUUUUCAGUCCCACCACAACUCUUAUUGGUUUGGUUAAUUGUCUGCUUUUCCUUUCAUCUUUUUGUGUUUGUGUUCUUUAGUUUAUUUGUUUGGGUUAAAUCCUAUACAUACAUAUAUUUUUGUGUUGCGUUUUGUUGACCCAUUUGGGGUUAAGCAUAUCAAUAUUUUCUUAUUAUUUCUGAUCUAUUGCUUUGGGGUUCAACUGAUUAUUUUCUGUUUAGUUUAACGUAGCUGUUGGGUUUGUGUUUGGGGUGUUAAAUACGCCUGGCCCCCACCCACAGUUAAAUUUCGUUUGUUUCCUUAUUACUUGUCUUAAGAAUUAGUUGGGUUUCUGUAUAUUUGUAUUUGGGUUUAAAUAUUUGGUUAUGAGUCAGUUCUGUUCCUGUGUGUGGGUGUGAGUGCUGUGUGUGUGUGUAUGUGUGUGUUUUAUUAUAGUCCUCUGUUUUAAAUGAUUGUCGUAACAACCUGAGUGUCUCACCACAACAGUAGUGUAAUUUUUGUGUUUCUUUCUUGUGUUUCCAGGACAGGAGCUGGUGCAGCGGGCGGCAGGCUUGUACAUUCAUGCAAAGUCUGGUACUGUGUACCAAAUGGAUCCCUCACCAGCAUCCUCUGAGCUUGAGGACUCUACCCAUGCGGCUCAGAGACUACAGGAAUACUUGAAGAUGAGAAAACAUCAGGGGGAAACUGACUGGGUGGAUGUGAAGUGGAAAGGAGGAGUGAUGCCCCACCCAGUGCAAAGGGAUGGUUGCAGCUGUGGUGUCAUUGUUGUUGAAAUGGCCAGAGCAGUGAUGGAAGCCUUCCCUGAGUUCCCCAAAAGGUCCCCCAGAACUUCUCAACAAAAAGGAGAGCCAUGGAAGAGACGAGGGGAGAUAUAGCUCUCCAAGUCCUUGAAUCAUCAGUCUUUGAUGAGGAGACUUGUUCGAUGUGUGGAGCUGACAAGCCCCCUGGACAAGCACCUCCCGUUACAGACUGGCUCUAUCCUCUAGAGCAGGCAUCUCCAAACGGCGGACCGCGGUCCGGGUCCUAAUCCAAACACACAUCCUUCGAGGAAAAGUAUCCCCAGAAGUCAGAAGUAAGAGCGUGGAAAAUAUCCGAUUAGCAACGUGCAAAUGAAUGCUCACUUAAGAUUGGAUGGAUUUUGGGGCAACAUAAAAAAACUUUCAGUGACGACUGUUGUGAAGGAGUGCUUGAACGCCGCUGCUGAGACGUUACUUGAAGGUAAACAAAGGGAUGAAUUCCGUGAAAAAAUAAAGCAAAUCCCAAUGUGAGCUGCAAUGACAACCAGAAAAUCCGAAAUGUUAUCAGAUGACACACUGUCACAGCUUCAUGCGGCUGUUCAGAGUGCCCCAUCCUUAGCCAUUGAUGAGUCUUCAGAUGUAACGGAUAAUUCCCAGCUUUUGGUUAAUGUGCGAUUAUUUCAUCAAGACAAGAAAGAGAUCUGUGAGGACCUGUUGGGUCUAACACCACUUGAGACACUGUUUUGCUUACUUGAAAUGAAGGCCUAAUGAUCUUUUUUUGUGUUUAUUUGAAAUGUAGGCCUGGUGUACCUGUUUUGCUUACUUGAAAUGUAGGCCUAAUGCACUUUGUGUUUAUUUGAAGUGUAGGCCUAGUGUUCCUGUUCUGCUUACUUCAGCUGUAGGCCUUAUGCACUUUUUAUGUUUACUUGAAUUGUAGGCCUAAUGUACCUGUUUUUAUCACUUGAAAUGUUAAUAUGCGUUACUUUGUCUUACUAGUUUUUCAUGGUUAAAAGUAAGCUAUUUGGAAAUUGAAAAUAAAUAUAUCUGAAAUUAUAAGGUAAUAUGCCGUAUUGAUUGUAUUUGACAAAAGAAGGCUAUAACGACGUGGUAGGUUCGGACCUUUCUUGGAAGGAACUUUUAGUGACUGGACCUUGUGCAAUUUUAAUUGAAGACCCCAUGCUCUAGAGGCUCCCUUUGUUUGGUUUAGUUUUUCUCUUUUUUUGUAUUUUUGUUUGUUUGUGGUUGUAUUUUCAUUUCCACUAUGUGAAGUGACCUUGGGUUUGAGAAAGGAGCUAUAUAAAUGUAAAUUAUUAUUAUCACUAUUAGUAUUAUUUACCUGUUUUGAACCAAAUUGCCCCGUAAGGACAUUUCAGCUCAAUUAAAUUCACCUGGAGGGUCAGGUAACGCAAAAGUAAGAAGUGACAUAAGGCAUUACUCCACACAUGGUAGUAAAGUAACGUAAUGAAGUAACUUCCCCAAUGCUGGUGACAUACCACUUAAACCUAAUUGUCCUACCAAGUGACAAAGUCAUGUACAUGAAUAAAUCAUUAAUUGUUUUUUCAAUUCAACAGAUCCAGU